rnacentral:rRNA from 1 species
GACGAACGCUGGCGGCGUGCUUAACACAUGCAAGUCGAACGCUGAAGCUUGGUGCUUGCACUGGGUGGAUGAGUGGCGAACGGGUGAGUAAUACGUGAGUAACCUGCCCUUGACUCUGGGAUAAGCCUGGGAAACUGGGUCUAAUACUGGAUACGACAUGUCACCGCAUGGUGGUGUGUGGAAAGGGUUUUACUGGUUUUGGAUGGGCUCACGGCCUAUCAGCUUGUUGGCGGGGUAAUGGCUCACCAAGGCGACGACGGGUAGCCGGCCUGAGAGGGUGACCGGCCACACUGGGACUGAGACACGGCCCAGACUCCUACGGGAGGCAGCAGUGGGGAAUAUUGCACAAUGGGCGGAAGCCUGAUGCAGCGACGCCGCGUGAGGGAUGACGGCCUUCGGGUUGUAAACCUCUUUCAGCACGGAAGAAGCGAAAGUGACGGUACGUGCAGAAGAAGCGCCGGCUAACUACGUG